rnacentral:rRNA from 1 species
UACGUAGGAAGCAAGCGUUGUUCGGAAUUACUGGGCGUAAAGAGUGUGUAGGCGGUGCUGCAAGUCUGGGGUGAAAUCUCCCGGCUUAACUGGGAGGGUGCAUUAGAAACUGGAAUGCUAGAGGAUGGGAGAGGUAAGCGGAAUUCCUGGUGUAGCGGUGAAAUGCGUAGAUAUCAGGAGGAACACCUGUGGUGUAGACAGCUUACUGGACCAUUUCUGACGCUGAGACACGAAAGCGUGGGUAGCAAACAGG